rnacentral:misc_RNA from 1 species
GUCCAGGUUUUAAAAGAUGACAUUUUCAGCAUCAAAAUAUUUUAUUUGAAUUCAUCACUCCAAACGUGUAGUGUGAAAGGAGGUACAUCUCACUCCCAACAUGCUGGCACCUCACACUACCACUAAUGCUCUGUCAUUCAAUGUAAGAUCUUGCUGCCCUACUAUUAAUCUCUUUUUUGGAGUAGAAUGGGUUAACAUUGCAAACCGUUGAUAAGUAAACUAAAUUAAUUUAAUGUAUUGCGAGUAAACUACACUAUCAUUGCCCUGAAGUGGCUAUCUGCGAUUAUUACACUCUCGUUGAUCAUGUCCUCAUGUCAUUGUUUGGGAAGUCAUAACUAGUGUGGAAA